AUUGAACGCUGGCGGCAUGCUUUACACAUGCAAGUCGAACGGUAACAGGUUAAGCUGACGAGUGGCGAACGGGUGAGUAAUGCAUCGGAACGUGCCCGGUCGUGGGGGAUAACGCAGCGAAAGCUGCGCUAAUACCGCAUACGAUCUGAGGAUGAAAGCGGGGGACCGUAAGGCCUCGCGCGAUCGGAGCGGUCGAUGUCAGAUUAGGUAGUUGGUGGGGUAAAGGCUCACCAAGCCGACGAUCUGUAGCUGGUCUGAGAGGACGACCAGCCACACUGGGACAGAGACACGGCCCAGACGCCUACGGGAGGCAGCAGUGGGGAAUUUUGGACAAUGGGCGCAAGCCUGAUCCAGCAAUGCCGCGUGCAGGAAGAAGGCCUUCGGGUUGUAAACUGCUUUUGUACGGAGCGAAAAGGCUUUCUCUAAUACAGGAGGCUGAUGACGGUACCGUAAGAAUAAGCACCGGCUAACUACGUGCCAGCCGCCGCGGUAAGAC
rnacentral:rRNA from 1 species